rnacentral:tRNA from 1 species
UGGGGUUUGGGCUCAGCGGUAGAGCACUCGCCUAGUACAUGAGAGGCCUGGGUUCAAUCCUCAGCACCACAU